rnacentral:tRNA from 1 species
UGGUGUGGCUCAGUCGGUAGAGCAGCUGAUUCGUAAUCAGCAGGUCAGCGGUUCAAAUCCGCUCACC